rnacentral:tRNA from 1 species
AAACUAGCUUGCCGCCCGCAGGGACCGAACCUGCGACCUUCGAAUAACGCGUCCGGUGCUCUACCACUGAGCAACGGCGGCGGUCAUGUCCCCGUCCACUUUAUAGGGUAUAUAUGGGCAUUUAAACUUAGGAGUUAAAAAAUCGCCGCC